CGUAGGGUGCAAGCGUUAAUCGGAAUUACUGGGCGUAAAGCGUGCGCAGGCGGUUGUGCAAGACCGAUGUGAAAUCCCCGGGCUCAACCUGGGAAUGGCAUUGGUGACUGCACGGCUAGAGUGUGUCAGAGGGGGGUAGAAUUCCACGUGUAGCAGUGAAAUGCGUAGAGAUGUGGAGGAAUACCGAUGGCGAAGGCAGCCCCCUGGGAUAACACUGACGCUCAUGCACGAAAGCGUGGGGAGCAAACAGGAUUAGAUACCCUGGUAGUCCACGCCCUAAACGAUGUCAACUAGUUGUCGGGUCUUAAUUGACUUGGUAACGCAGCUAACGCGUGAAGUUGACCGCCUGGGGAGUACGGCCGCAAGGCUA
rnacentral:rRNA from 1 species